UCAGACUUUUGUAAAGUCAAUCCGGAAACAUCAUAUCCUUUUGUUUUUGUUUUGUCUUUGAUUCAAAUAUUUUUUCUUUCAAAAUACCACAACAAGAACAAACAAACGCCCUGAGGAAAACGAUAAUCAAAGGCCAAAAAAAAAAAAAAAAGGCCUUGUAUUAAACUCCAAAAAACAAAAAUCAAACAGUACGAAAAAUUAAAGAUCUUUUCGUUUUCUUUUUUCUUCGAUUAUUCUAUUGAGAUCGAACAAUCAAACCACCGCAGAAGAACAGGGGGAGAGAGAGCUCUUCAGAAGCUUCUUCGCCGACGAUACACCAAUCCUCCUCCCUUUGGUUCCAUUCAAUUCCUUUACAAACCGAUCAUUGAACAGAUGCUUCGAAUCAAAUUAGGUUGCGAGAUUCAAUCCUCCGCCGAUCGUCGCAAUUCGAAUAAAAUUUCACAGAUCUCAGUGAAAUUAGAAAAUGCACUCUGCUUUUGUCUUCGCACCGAUCCUUACAAAUAGACUGAGAGAAUCAGAAAACCCUAGGCUGAGGAACCGAUUCUGAUGAGCGAAUGGAUGGUACAAUUGCUCCAAAAUUUCCGAUUGGUUUGCCGUACGUAUAUAGCACCGAGGAAAAUUCACGAAUUCCGAGAGCUUCUGACACGCCAAAACGGAGAAAACCCAAAUCUAUCAGAGAAACCGCUUGAAAUUUGUGAAACUGGUGAUGGUUUUCAAGCACUAGGACGUCUGUGUAGGCUGAUAAUCAUUACAAACAGCCAGGCUGCUAGGGUUUGGCUCAGAGAAAUUUGAGAGAGAGAGAGAGAGAGAGCUCUGAGCGUUGGGUUUUGUUUUGCUUUUUUCCAAUUUCC
rnacentral:lncRNA from 1 species